rnacentral:lncRNA from 1 species
AAGAAUUUUUAUCAAUAUAUUGUAUUUUUAAAUAAUUUUCUUAAAAACUGCUAUUUCUGGAAAGUUUUCAUUUUUUAGAGAAAUAUUGUAGAUUUGGGUUUGUGAUUUAAAAAUUAGGAUAACAAGAAUAUUUGUGGAUAGAUGAAUAUUAUUUAAGAAUUUUUCAUCAAUGUGUUGUAUUUUUAAAUAAAUUUCUUAAAAACUGCUAUUUUUGGAAAGUUUUCAUUUUUUAGAAAAAUAUUGUAGAUUAGGGUUUGUGAUUUAAAAAUUAGGUUAACAAUAAUAUUUGUGGGUAGAUGAAAAUUAUUUAAGAAUUUUUUAUCAAUGUGUUGUAUUUUUAAGUAAUUUUCUUAAAAACUGCUAUUUUUGGAAAGUUUUCAUUUCUUAGAAAAAUAUUUUAGAUUUGGGUUUGUGAUUUAAAAAUUAGGAUAACAAUAAUAUUUGUGGAUAGAUGAAUACUCUUUAAGAAUUUUUCAUCAACACGUUGUAUUUUUAAAUAAUUUUCUUAAAAACUGCUAUUUUUGGAAACUUUUCAUUUUUUAGAGAAAUGUUGUAGAUUUGGUGUUGUGAUUUAAAAAUUAGGAUAACAAGAAUAUUUGUGGAUAGAUGAAUAUUAUUUAAGAAUAUUUCAUCAAUGUGUUGUAUUUCUUAAUAAUUUUCUUAAAAACUGCUAUUUUUGGAAAGUUUUCAUUUUUUAGAGAAAUAUUGUAGAUUUGGGUUUGUGAUUUAAAAAUUAGGAUAACAAUAAUAUUUGUGGAUAGAUGAAUAUUAUUUAAGAAUUUUUCAUCAAUGUGUUGUAUUUUUAAGUAAUUUUUUUAAAAACUGCUAUUUUUGGAAAUUUUUCAUUUUUUAGAAAAAUAUUUUUGAUUUGGGUUUGUGAUUUAAAAAUUAGGAUAACAAUAAUAUUUGUGGAUAGAUGAAUACUUUUUAAGAAUUUUUCAUCAACACGUUGUAUUUUUAAAUAAUUUUUUUAAAAACUGCUAUUUUUGGAAACUUUUCAUUUUUUAGAGAAAUGUUGUAGAUUUGGUGUUGUGAUUUAAAAAUUAGGAUAACAAGAAUAUUUGUGGAUAGAUGAAUAUUAUUUAAGAAUAUUUCAUCAAUGUGUUGUAUUUCUUAAUAAUUUUCUUAAAAACUGCUAUUUUUGGAAAGUUUUCAUUUUUUAGAGAAAUAUUGUAGAUUUGGGUUUGUGAUUUAAAAAUUAGGAUAACAAUAAUAUUUGUGGAUAGAUGAAUAUUUUUUAAGAAUUUUUCAUCAAUGUGUUGUAUUUUUAAGUAAUUUUCUUAAAAACUGAUAUUUUUGGAAAAUUUUCAUUUUAUUGAUAAAUGUUGUAGAUUUGGGUUUGUGGUUUAGAAAUUAGGAUAACAAAAAUAUUUGUGGAUAGAUGAGUAUUAUUUAAGAAUUUUUCAUCAAUGUGUUGUAUUUUAAAUAAUUUUCCUAAAAACUACUAUUUUUGGAAAGUUUUUAUUUUAAAGAGAAAUAUUAUAGAUUUGGGUUUGUGAUUUAAAAAUUAGGAUAACAAAAAUAUUUGUGGAUAGAUGAGUAUUAUUUAAGAAUUUUUCAUCAAUGUGUUGUAUUUUAAAUAAUUUUCCUAAAAACUACUAUUUUUGGAAAGUUUUUAUUUUAAAGAGAAAUAUUAUAGAUUUGGGUUUGUGAUUUAAAAAUUAGGAUAACAAAAAUAUUUGUGGAUAGAUGAGUAUUAUUUAAGAAUUUUUCAUCAAUGUGUUGUAUUUUUAAAUAAUUUUC